rnacentral:rRNA from 1 species
UACGUAGGGGGCAAGCGUUGUCCGGAUUUAUUGGGCGUAAAGAGCGUGUAGGCGGCCGAGUAAGUCCGACGUGAAAUCUGGAGGCUCAACCUCCAGCGGUCGUUGGAAACUACUCGGCUAGAGUCCGGAAGAGGAGAGUGGAAUUCCUGGUGUAGCGGUGAAAUGCGCAGAUAUCAGGAAGAACACCGAUGGCGAAAGCAGCUCUCUGGGACGGUACUGACGCUGAGACGCGAAAGCGUGGGGAGCGAACAGG